rnacentral:rRNA from 1 species
GUACACUCCUGCGGGAAGCAGCAGUGGGGAAUUUUGGACAAUGGGCGAAAGCCUGAUCCAGCAAUGCCGCGUGAGUGAAGAAGGCCUUCGGGUUGUAAAGCUCUUUUGUCAGGGAAGAAACGGUGAGAGCUAAUAUCUCUUGCUAAUGACGGUACCUGAAGAAUAAGCACCGGCUAACUACGUGCCAGCAGCCGCGGUAAUACGUAGGGUGCAAGCGUUAAUCGGAAUUACUGGGCGUAAAGCGUGCGCAGGCGGUUUUGUAAGUCUGAUGUGAAAUCCCCGGGCUCAACCUGGGAAUUGCAUUGGAGACUGCAAGGCUAGAAUCUGGCAGAGGGGGGUAGAAUUCCACGUGUAGCAGUGAAAUGCGUAGAUAUGUGGAGGAACACCGAUGGCGAAGGCAGCCCCCUGGGUCAAGAUUGACGCUCAUGCACGAAAGCGUGGGGAGCAAACAGGAUUAGAAACCCGAGUAGUCCCAUGA